rnacentral:rRNA from 1 species
CAGCAGCCGCGGUAAUACGAAGGGUGCAAGCGUUACUCGGAAUUACUGGGCGUAAAGCGUGCGUAGGUGGUGGCUUAAGUCCGUUGUGAAAGCCCUGGGCUCAACCUGGGAAUUGCAGUGGAUACUGGGUCACUAGAGUGUGGUAGAGGAUAGUGGAAUUUCCGGUGUAGCAGUGAAAUGCGUAGAGAUCGGAAGGAACAUCUGUGGCGAAGGCGACUAUCUGGGCCAACACUGACACUGAGGCACGAAAGCGUGGGGAGCAAACAGGAUUAGAGACCCCGGUAGUCCCUGUCUCUUAUAC